ensembl:snRNA U6 U6 spliceosomal RNA
GUGCUUGCUUUAGCAGCACAUAUACUAAAAUUGGAACGAUACAGAGAAGAUUAGCACAGCCCCUACACAAGGAUGACAUGCAAAUUUGUGAAGCGUUCCAUAUUUUU